rnacentral:rRNA from 1 species
GAUGAACGCUGGCGGCGUGCCUAAUACAUGCAAGUCGAGCGAACAGACGAGGAGCUUGCUCCUUUGACGUUAGCGGCGGACGGGUGAGUAACACGUGGGUAACCUACCUAUAAGACUGGGAUAACUUCGGGAAACCGGAGCUAAUACCGGAUAAUAUUUCGAACCGCAUGGUUCGAUAGUGAAAGAUGGCUUUGCUAUCACUUAUAGAUGGACCCGCGCCGUAUUAGCUAGUUGGUAAGGUAACGGCUUACCAAGGCAACGAUACGUAGCCGACCUGAGAGGGUGAUCGGCCACACUGGAACUGAGACACGGUCCAGACUCCUACGGGAGGCAGCAGUAGGGAAUCUUCCGCAAUGGGCGAAAGCCUGACGGAGCAACGCCGCGUGAGUGAUGAAGGUCUUCGGAUCGUAAAACUCUGUUAUUAGGGAAGAACAAACGUGUAAGUAACUGUGCACGUCUUGACGGUACCUAAUCAGAAAGCCACGGCUAACUACGUG